rnacentral:rRNA from 1 species
CAGUAGCCGCGGGAAUACGAAGGGGGCUAGCGUUGCUCGGAUUUACUGGGCGUAAAGGGUGCGUAGGCGGACCGUUUAGUUGGGGGUGAAAGCCCGGGGCUCAACCUCGGAAUUGCCUUCAAUACUGGCGGUCUUGAGUAUGGAAGAGGUAAGUGGAACUCCGAGUGUAGAGGUGAAAUUCGUAGAUAUUCGGAAGAACACCGGUGGCGAAGGCGACUUACUGGUCCAUUACUGACGCUGAGGCACGAAAGCGUGGGGAGCAAACAGGAUUAGAUACCCGGGUAGUCCCUGUCUCUUAUAA